UUCCAAAGAGAAUGCCAAGCUGUCAAC
rnacentral:piRNA from 1 species